rnacentral:tRNA from 1 species
GCCCUCGUAGUUCAAGGGAUAGAAUGUAGGUUUCCGGAACCUAAUAUCCAGGUUCGAGUCCUGGCGGGGGCACCA